rnacentral:lncRNA from 1 species
ACACUUGAAAUCUCAAGUGAAAAAAUAUAAAAACAAACUGCAUUGAACUUCAUCUCCCCAUGCACCUGUUACUUUGCCUUGCAUGCUUUCAUAUUUGAUCUUGUAAAUUGAAAUAUAAAAGAUUAUUGCAUAUGUUACAGAUCAUCUGGCAGAAUGAAAGAAGUCGUUGAUUACAGAGUCCUAUCUCCAGGAGACCUAGCCAACUCUGUGAUGACUGAAGGGGGAUGGUCGGACUUCCUGGUAUUUCCCUGUCUUCUUCCUUCUUUGCCUUGCAUGCUUUCAUAUUUGAUCUUGUAAAUUGAAAUAUAAAAGAUUAUUGCAUAUGUUACAGAUCAUCUGGCAGAAUGAAAGAAGUCGUUGAUUACAGAGUCCUAUCUCCAGGAGACCUAGCCAACUCUGUGAUGACUGAAGGGGGAUGGUCGGACUUCCUGGUAUUUCCCUGUCUUCUUCCUUCAUCCUUCAUUCUAAUUUACUUGAUGCUUGCAAAGAAACGAUUAAUUAGAUUGGAGAAUAUGAGAUUGCUUCUAUUCUUUGAUCACCCUUUGUUCCACAUUAAUUCAAUUAAAAGACAAAUCUUAUAGUGGUUUACUCUUUUUAGUGCA